UUGUAUGUAUAGAUUUAUAUAGAUGUAGAGAUAAAAUACAAAAAAAAUUAUAAACCGUGAAUUUUGAAGCAUUGAGAAAUAAAAUAACACAUUUAUAUAAAAGCAUUUAUUUUAAAACAAUGUAUGUAAUAUACUUUCUGAUUCUUGGCAAAACAGUCUCAGAUAAGCAAGUCAACAUUUGGCCUCUAUUAAGAAUAAACAUAAGACAAUAACAUGCUCUGCCACAACUCACAAAAAUAUCAAACUGAAUUAUUAGAUAAAUAACAAUAUAAAUGGGUCAUAAUAUAAAAUUAUCUCUGUCUAUUUUGCAGUUAGUGUUGCAUCUUGGUUGAGCAAUUUUAAUUUGUUUACUGUUGUAAACUAUUCUAAAUUAACGAGAAUUAACAUUACUAGAAUUGACUCACAAUAUCAGCAAUAUAUAAAAAAACCAUCUACCAUUGCUUAAUAAUAAUCUUCACAGAUGCAGACGUUACAGUCCACAAUGAGUUUGUGGUAUUGUAAUAUGAUAAAAUUUGAGAAUAAAUGCACAACAAAAAUAGAAUUCAAGUUGCCUUUGUCUUUUAUAAUUAUAAAAAUAUUUAUAUAACAAUUUAGAAAUUAUCAUAACAGUUUCCCUAUAAACAAUUUGGAAUAAUAUUGCACGAGCUCAGAGCUAAAUCAUCAUGUGCAUCAUUAUUAAUAUAAAUACUAUAAAUAUAGCAACAAACCAACACAACUCUUCAUAUAUUACACUUAUGACUUGAAACACGACUCGACCAUAGGACGACAACUGACUAUAUAUUAUGGACCACGGUAAAUAUUUAUUAGAAGCAAGGGAAUACAACUCAUUGCCCUUCAAAUUCUAUUUGUAUAUAUUUCUUAUUAAUAUCUUUACAAAUAACAUCAACAAACCCUGUGUUGUUGUCGACCUAUAUACAUCAUAAUUAAACAAUAUAGUUGCUUUAACAUAGAAUUAUUAAUAUAUAAAAUUUAUAAUAACAAUCACAAAACGAGUCAAUUUAGUAUAUAGUGUAAAUAAUAGUAACUAAUUAAAAUCAGUAUUUUUUCGAUAAACGAUAUAAAAAUUAAAACUAGCACAAAAACAACUAUAUUAUCUAAUUUUCCUUCAAACCCUAGUGUUGAUUUGUUAGAAAAUAUUACUUUCACAGCACAGGAACAAACACAUUCUGGACUAAAUAAAAAUCUGAAAAUGAUAACAACAUUUUUUUAAAGACUAGCACUUAAUUUUGGCACAACACUGACCUCUCGGUGCAGUGGCAUCUAUGUUGUUCUUCUUAUAUACAUAAUUCAUUUAGAUUAGUGUAUUGCUCAGUGAAAAUAUACUUAAUAAAAUAUAAUUUUUUUAACAAGGGCUCCACAAACAUUUUCCGACAUACAUUCAGUUUGGGAACUUUCUCGUUCUAAUAAUUACGUAUUGCAAGCAAAAAUAAGCCGUAGAAUUUUACUAACAUUUGUGCCCAAUGUGUCAUGUUCGAUGUAUUCAUUUCUUACUCAUUUACAAAACCUUAAACAGUGAUUGAUUUUAUCAUUCACCGCAAACAUGGACAGCUGCCAUUACAAUCAUAAAAUGCAAAAUAAUGUAUAUUUUAGUAAAAAAAAAAAAAUUAUAAAUAAUAAUAAAAAAACUUAUUUGAGUAAAUAAAUUCUCUGUUCCAUUGCUCAUUCAGUGCUUAUAAAACAGAGUGUAAAAAUAAUAAAGUCGAAUCGAAGAGAACGAUUAAUAACUACCCUGUAGGUGAGGUGGUUUGGCAUUUAUGAUUUAGUAUCCGAUGCAAACAUUCCCUCGACACAUCCUCGACCGUACAAACUGGCUCUCCUUAUUUUUACACCCUGCCACAGUGAGUAUUAUACCGCAACAACAUUCUUAUAUCCGAACCGUACAUACCUAACUCUUUCCCUGUAUAAAUAUAUUAUUAUAGUCUUGUAAAAGAAACCUUUUAACCUCAUAGGUCAUUAACACUACGCGAGAAAUUACAAGAGCAUUAGGAUACGACAUAUUGCUACGAGUUAACUUAUCAUUUGGCACUAAAUUAACAUAUUGCAUCUCGAGCAUUCGUCACAUAAGUAUUUAUACUUAAUAUUCUCGAUAAAAUUUUUCAUUUUACUAUAAUAAUUAUAAUUAAACUUCAUUUUUAAAAAUUUUCUAACGAUUGGGCCGACCAUUAAUUUCUACUAGAACGUACGAACAGAGUUCAAAAGGAAAAUUAUAAUGCAUUUCAUUGAGCAAAUCAGACGUGCCAUCUCCUAUCCGUCACGAUCCCGAGAAGAAACGGGGCGGGAUGGCGAUACGUAAUAGUAGAAGAAAUAAUAUAGUAGAAGAAAUGAUAGACAAGACUUUCGGCAAGUAAAAUUUGGCAAAAUUGAGCAUUUAAAAGACCAAUCGGCAUCGUAAAACAUUACAAGUAGCGAUGCGCGGCCACUACGAUAGAAUACCUAACUCUGGUAACUGGAACUCGUCUGCGCCCCGACAAGCAGAUAUCUGAGUAUUUGUUCGACGUGUCCGAGGCGCUGCGACUUACAACUAUCUGAGUAUCAUUGUUGCCUAUUAUUUGUUAUGACGAGUAGCUACACAAUGUCGCGUUAACUUUAGCCUAAUAAAAUAUUAAAAGCGAAUAUUUAUAAAAAGAACGAACGAAUGGUCUUCCGUCGUAUUAAAGGUAAUAUCUGCUUGUACCUACACAUAAUAAACACGACUAAAUAGUACAAAAUUUCGUAAAAUAACAUUUGAUAUGAAGUUUCAUAUGUGACAAGUAAUCAUUAUGAGGAUUCGAUCAUCGUUCAAAAGAACUAUAUAAAUGAUCAUGGACUUUAGAGAAUUCAGUUAUUUACUAACUACUUUUAUAACAACUCGGUUAAAAUAGUAUUUAAAAAUUAAAAAAUCUUUCAUCUUCAUUAUCAAAUAAUAGUUAUUGCUUAGUUGAUAUGAUAAAUACAUCCCUGUGCAGAUGUGCGAUGCGCGCCCCUCGGGCGCUAACCGUUACGUUAUCUCUUAUAAGUAUUUAAAAAUAUGACUCCUUUAUAACCAUCACGAUCACAGCACUCCGAAGACUUUUCGAUUUCCGACCCGACUCACUCCAAAAUAAAUUCUCUUUUACAUUAUAUCUAUAGAACGAAAUGACUAUAUAAUAUAUCUAUGUUAGUUCUAAAAUUAUGCCAUUUUGAUAUAUUCACUUUGCGAUUGCAACGGUCCCUCGUUCGGCACUCAAGUGCCUCGUGUUCAGAUUUAUACCUUAAAGAAAAAAAAGAAAUGACUAAUUGUAAACGAAGGAUGUGGCCGACCGACCGAUACGGACGAGAGGGUUCAGAAGGAAGCGGCAGUGUUUCGCGAAAAUUCGUGCAAAUAGAACCUAACUACAGAACAUGUCUUAGGAACCUGAUAAAUUAUCGCUAGAGCUUCGAUCGCGACUCCGGCGCAAUAGAAAAAUAUCACCUAAAUAAAUACGACCCUGGCGGCGGGUGCGUCGUGCGGGUUCUCUUUUUGGUACAAAACUGCUCCGGCAUCAGUGAGGCGCCUCGCCUUCCUCCGCCCCGGCCGCCCCGCCCGCACCACCGCUCGCCCCGCCCGCACCACCGCCCGCCCCGCCGCCCGCCCCGCCACCCGCCCCGCCCGUCGCCGCUCCCGUUCCCGCCGCGCCCUCGCUACAGACACAACAUUAUACACUCAUUAAUAUUAACUCUUUGCAAUUACUAAAACCAAAUAUAAGAAAACGAAAAAUUAAGCAGUAGUAAUAUGAAUGGUAUGAAAAUACGAUGUUUAACUAAAUGGAUCUAUCCUUAAGGGCUUGUGUCAAAUUUGCUGAUAAAGUAUAUAUAUCAUAGCCACUGAUAAGUUAUGUUAGGAUUCAGUUAGUAAAUAGGCGCUAACCCAUUUCAACACAACCAAUAAACUACAAUUAUGGAUUCACAGUUGCAAAAAAAUUAACAUAUGAAGUGAAGUUUGAUACAUAAAGUGGAGAAAAUGAAAAUGAAAUCAAAUCUUUAAUCUUUUGGAUACUAUUCGAAGAUAGCUUUUCAGAACGUACAUACUCAACGGUGACAUAGGCCCUCAGACUAGCUGUACAGUGGAGACAGACAAG
rnacentral:misc_RNA from 1 species